AUUGAACGCUGGCGGCAUGCCUUACACAUGCAAGUCGAACGGUAACGCGGGGCAACCUGGCGACGAGUGGCGAACGGGUGAGUAAUGUAUCGGAACGUGCCCAGUUGUGGGGGAUAACUGCUCGAAAGAGCAGCUAAUACCGCAUACGACCUGAGGGUGAAAGCGGGGGAUCGCAAGACCUCGCGCAAUUGGAGCGGCCGAUAUCAGAUUAGGUAGUUGGUGAGGUAAAGGCUCGCCAAGCCGACGAUCUGUAGCUGGUCUGAGAGGACGACCAGCCACACAGGGACUGAGCCACGGCCGAGACUCCUACGGGAGGCAGCAGUGGGGAAUUUUGGACAAGGGACGCAAGUCUGAUCCAGCCAUGCCGCGUGCGUAAAGAAGGCCUUCGGGUUGUAAACCGCUUUUGUCAGGGAAGAAACGCUCUGGGUUAAUACCUCGGGGUAAUGACGGUACCUGAAGAAUAAGCACCGGCUAACUACGUGCCAGCCGCCGCCGUAAGAC
rnacentral:rRNA from 1 species